rnacentral:rRNA from 1 species
GAUGAACGCUGGCGGCGUGCUUAACACAUGCAAGUCGAACGGUGAAGGCGGAGCUUGCUCUGCUGGAUCAGUGGCGAACGGGUGAGUAACACGUGAGCAAUCUGCCCCUGACUCUGGGAUAAGCGCUGGAAACGGCGUCUAAUACUGGAUACGAGCUGCGAAGGCAUCUUCAGCAGCUGGAAAGAAUUUCGGUCAGGGAUGAGCUCGCGGCCUAUCAGCUUGUUGGUGAGGUAAUGGCUCACCAAGGCGUCGACGGGUAGCCGGCCUGAGAGGCUGACCGGCCACGCUGGGACUGAGACACGGCCCAGACUCCUACGGGAGGCAGCAGUGGGGAAUAUUGCACAAUGGGCGAAAGCCUGAUGCAGCAACGCCGCGUGAGGGACGACGGCCUUCGGGUUGUAAACCUCUUUUAGCAGGGAAGAAGCGAAAGUGACGGUACCUGCAGAAAAAGCGCCGGCUAACUACGUG